AACGAACGCUGGCGGCAUGCCUAACACAUGCCAGUCGAACGAGAUCCUUCGGGGUCUAGUGGCGCACGGGUGCGUAACGCGUGGGAAUCUGCCCUUAGGUUCGGAAUAACAGUUAGAAAUGACUGCUAAUACCGGAUGAUGACGUUAAGUCCAAAGAUUUAUCGCCUGAGGAUGAGCCCGCGUAGGAUUAGCUAGUUGGUGUGGUAAAGGCGCACCAAGGCGACGAUCCUUAGCUGGUCUGAGAGGAUGAUCAGCCACACUGGGACUGAGACACGGCCCAGACUCCUACGGGAGGCAGCAGUGGGGAAUAUUGGACAAUGGGCGCAAGCCUGAUCCAGCAAUGCCGCGUGAGUGAUGAAUGCCUUAGGGUUGUAAAGCUCUUUUACCCGAGAUGAUAAUGACAGUAUCGGGAGAAUAAGCCCCGGCUAACUCCGUG
rnacentral:rRNA from 1 species